ACUGAACGCUGGCGGCAGGCUUCACACAUGCAAGUCGACCGAGUGGCGCACGGGUGAGUAAUGUCUGGGAAACUGCCCGAUGGAGGGGGAUAACUACUGGGAACGGUAGCUAAUACCGCAUACCAGCGGAUGUGCCCAGAUGGGCAUAGCUGGUAGGUGGGGUAACGGCUCAACUAGGCGACGAUCCCUAGCUGGUCUGAGAGGAUGACCAGCAACACUGGAACUGAGACACGGUCCAGACUCCUACGGGAGGCAGCAGUGGGGAAUAUUGCACAAUGGGCGCAAGCCUGAUGCAGCCAUGCCGCGGGUAUGAAGAAGGCCUUCGGGUUGUAAAGUACUUUCAGCGAGGAGGCGUUACUCGCAGAAGAAGCACCGGCUAACUCCGUGCCAGCAGCCGCGGUAAUUC
rnacentral:rRNA from 1 species